GUGUAUGUAGCAUAGUGGUUAAUGUGCUGCACUGUCAAUGCAGAGAUUAGGGUUCGAUUCCCUCAUACACU
rnacentral:tRNA from 1 species